GAGUUUGAUCUUGGCUCAGAUUGAACGCUGGCGGCAUGCCUUACACAUGCAAGUCGAACGGCAGCACGGGAGCUUGCUCCUGGUGGCGAGUGGCGAACGGGUGAGUAAUGCAUCGGAACGUAUCCUGGAGUGGGGGAUAACGUAGCGAAAGUUACGCUAAUACCGCAUAUUCUGUGAGCAGGAAAGCGGGGGACCUUCGGGCCUCGCGCUCUUGGAGCGGCCGAUGUCGGAUUAGCUAGUUGGUGAGGUAAAGGCUCACCAAGGCGACGAUCCGUAGCAGGUCUGAGAGGAUGAUCUGCCACACUGGAACUGAGACACGGUCCAGACUCCUACGGGAGGCAGCAGUGGGGAAUUUUGGACAAUGGGGGCAACCCUGAUCCAGCCAUGCCGCGUGAGUGAAGAAGGCCU
rnacentral:rRNA from 42 species